rnacentral:lncRNA from 1 species
GCAGUGGGCGGCGACGCCGGCAGCUGGGACGAGGAGGGCCUCCUGGUCACCCUUCUGGGGGCCCGUACUGUCAUGCCUCAGAGCUGGCAAGUCGUCCCAGGGAAGACAACGGCCUUCCUGGAGGGAGGGAACCUUGUGGUUAGGCGCAUGGGGUGCGAAGCAGAAAAGAAAGUACAGAGAAAAAAAAAGAAUGGAAUACACAUGAAUGCCGAACCACAUUGGAUAUGUAGCUGUUCAUGAAGAUAUUCCAGGGAAGGCCUAUCUAGUAGAGCCUCAAAUCUAUUUGAAUACAAAUGGCACUCAUUAAGGACAUCUGUCUUCUGUAAUGUCUACACAAAGUCUUACCGGGGUCUUCUUGGCUCUUAUUGACGGCUGAUGAAGGAGGGGUUUAUAAAGAAAACAAGCCAAAACCUGAAUAACUUGCUACUGAGAGCAGCACACAUAUUUUCCCAAAGUGCAAAGUUGAGAAGAAGUACAAAGCUUUGUUAAUAUUCUGAACAGUACUGCUUAGUAUGAUCUAAUUGAUGGAUUUUCCAUGGACUCCCUAGAGACUGAAAAAGGUUUGACUGUCAGGAAACUUUUCUUGUGUUUAUUCUUCAAUUUUCCUUUUCCUACUUUCCAAUCAUCAUUCCCUAUUAACAUCCCUUGAUGGGUCACCUUAAGUGAUUAUUCUUUUUAAUGGCAUUUAUAACGUUUAAUAUUUCCCUGUUAAUUUCUAUUCCGACAAAGUACAUAUUUUUUUAAUCUUCACUCAUAACAUUAAUAAAUUUUUCCAACAUUUUAAA